rnacentral:rRNA from 1 species
AGAGUUUGAUCAUGGCUCAGGACGAACGCUGGCGGCGUGCCUAAUACAUGCAAGUCGAGCGGAGUUGUUCCUUCGGGGACAGCUUAGCGGCGGACGGGUGAGUAACACGUGGGCAACCUGCCUGUAAGGUUGGGAUAACUGUCGGAAACGGCAGCUAAUACCGGAUAAUUGGCCUUUUCGCAUGGAGAGGCUAUGAAAGG